CUCGCCUACAUGAAGCUGGAGUUACUAGUAAUCGCAGAUCAGAAUGCUGCGGUGAAUGCGUUCCCGGGUCUUGUACACACCGCCCGUCACACCACGGAAGGUUGGGGGCGCCCGAAGCCACUUAGCUAACCCUUUUGGGAAGCGAGUGUCGAAGGUGAAAUCAAUAACUGGGGUNAAGUCGUAACAAGGUACC
rnacentral:rRNA from 1 species